AUGAGGCGGCUGCAGAGAUGGUUUUCUCGCCUGUGCAUCGACCCGGUGCGCCAACGGCGGCGCAAAAUGACCAUUCCCCUAUCAGUGGGCCCCGAUUUGACCCACUGGGGCGAUCCCCGAACUCUCGCGAGAGGGGUGCCCUUGGGCAGAGCAACGUCACACAUCUCGGUGUUUACGGAUGCUUCUCUGUCGGGCUGGGGAGGAACUUGCGAGUUUCACGUGGUGGGCGGCGUUUGGCCCCCCCCCCGUGACCAUGCAAAUAAACGCAUUGGAGCUCCUCACUGUGUUGAAAGUGGUCCAACACUUUGCCCUAUUGUUGACGAAUCAACACGUAAUGAUUCGCACGGACCUCAAGGCGACAGCAGCAUACAUAAAUCGCCAAGGGGGAGUGCGCUCGGCACAGCUGCUGAGCAUAGCAAGACAGCUGUUAUGCUGGGCGCACACGCACUUGCUCUCCAUCAGAGCAGCGUACAUCCCCGGUGUCCUGAACAGAGGGGCCGACAUGAUGUUGAGGGGGGGUCCUCAAACAGGAGACUGGACUCUGCACCACGAUCUGAUCAACCAGAUAUGGAGCGAGUUUGGGAAGGCGGAGGUCGACUUAUUCGCCACGCGGGAGAACACGCAGUGCGAGCUGUGGUUCCCCCUCAGCGCGAAGGACAAUCCCCCACUCGGGGUGGAUGCGUUCGCUCACAGACCGUGGCCGAACACACUCCUGUUCGCUCUCCCACCCGUCCCCCUGAUUCCCCAAGUCUUGGACCGAGUCCAAGAGGAGCGGCUGUGUAUGAUUCUCAUAGCACCGCAACGCACAAGUGCGCCGUGGUUUCCCUGCCUCCAACGUCUGCUCUCGGGGCCGCUGAAGGAACUCCCUUGGCGGCGGGACGCUCUCUCACAGGCAGGGGGAGCAAUCAUAGGUUACCCAGAGAUCGGCCAGCGCUUGUGGGCCUGGCCGCUCAACGCGAGCGCCUAGAGGGUCUCGGCCUCUCCCAGGAGGUCGUACGGACCAUCCAGGGUGCCAGAGCUGACUCCACCAGAGCGUGUUACUCGGCUAAAUGGGCGGCUUUCCAGAAAUGGUGCACGGAGAGGGAUUGUGAGCCCAUCUCCUGCCCUUUGCCGCGUUUGCUCUCUUUCCUCCAGAUGCUGAUGGAAAGAGGGCUGGCCUUUAGCGCGGUUAAGACGUACGAGGCUGCAGUUUCAUCAUGCCACGAAGGCUUCGGGGAUAAAACUGUUUUUAGUCACCCCUUGAUGAAGCGCUUCCUAAAAGGUGUGAGGAGAGAGAGACCCGUGACGCGCUCUCUCACUCCACAAUGGGAUUUAACACUGGUGCUGCGCGCACUGGUUAAAGCCCCAUUUGAGCCAUGCACUUGA
rnacentral:lncRNA from 1 species